GAAUGAAAUUUAGAUAAAUUGUAAACUAUCGAAACUCAUAUUUUAACACUUGUUACAAUUAUUUAAAACUUCUUUGAUCACUUUUGCACUUAAAUACUUAUACAUAUGCAGAACUACAAUAAAUUGUAUUAUUAAUAGCACAUCCAAAAUAAUUAAUUAUAUGCGCACAGUCGUUACUUCAAAAAAUUAAUUUUCUAAAUUUUAAUAUAUCGAAAGACAUUUUUACAAUUAUUUAUCAUAUAUCACAUAUUAAACACACUUUUUGCAUUAUUUAAUUAAUUUAUUUUGUCAUGUACUCACCGUUCGAGAUCCGUUCCCUCACAUGGAAAAUGGUAAGUUCGUCCCUCCUCGCUGCAGCCUGCAACACACUUUCUCCAUUUUAAGUUUGAUUUUAGCAUUUCGGCUGUAAAAUAACGUUAAAAAUUAUUAAAUACAUGCAAAUUUAUCUAAUAAAAAUUAAAAUAUACUUACCAGUUCACAAGCUGCGUGCUGUUUUUCUUUCGUUAUUCUUCGUAAUAACGGCCGUUACAAAUGGAGAGUAAAAAUUAAAAAUGUCUCCAUUCCCAUUAUAAUUUUGUGUGAUUUCAAUCUGGCUUUGACAGUUCUGAGUUCAGUAGGUUUUGACGUCUAGCAAUUGCUCUCUCAUUUCCAGUGAGAUACGAGUUGGGCAUCCCAUUAUCCCUGAUGUGCAGUAUGUUUAGGGUCGUUGUUUUUUGGAAAACAUAAAUCUUCCUUUAUCCCCAUUUUUUCCGCACUCUGCAACAAAUUAUUUUUCAAUAAAUUAAGGUAAACCUCUUUGGUCAUUAUUCCAUCGAUUAUAACAAGCACUACGAUGGAUUGCUCUGCGCACUGUAUCUGAUGAUACUGAUAUAUUUUUAGCAAUUUCCAAACUAGUGGCUAUUUUAAGAGCACUUUCAAAUGUAUUCUUUGAUUCUUGACUAUGCCUUUGAUAAAACGUUCAUCACGGUCCAGAAGCAAUUUCGGUCUGCCAGACCUUAGUAAAGUUGAUUUGCUACUUUCCACCAUUUUUUCGAUUUCCGAUAAAGAUUUACCAUCUUUAGAGUUAGAAAUUACAACUUUUCUUUUUUCUGAACUUAAUUCUCUUCUCUUCAUUAUGUUUAAAAUUAUUACAAUUGCAAUUGUCACUUAACUUAAACUAAAGUGAAUGACAGAAAAUUUAUGAUUAAACAGACAAAAUAUGUGGUAUGCAGAGGAAUUUAUUUGAAAGAAGUUCUCUGUUUUGGGAGAAAGUUCUCCAAAAUAUUAAUAGAGUGGACGCGGGAUUCCCUUUUAGUCGGGACGACAUUACCAGAAAAUUUUUAAAUUAUAUGAUAAAGUAUAAGCGGAUUCUAAAACGGAGUAGCACAUAUUCGGAGUUUGAUAGAACUUCGCUAAAGCCAAAAAAACGUGAAGUUUUAAUUUUAUUUUGGAAGGGAAGCCUCUGCGGAUAAAGAAAUGGUAAACAAGUUAUUGAAAGUGUUGGGUUAAUACUGCUGUCUAUGGCUAAUCAAAAUUGUAUUAAUCAGCAAAGGUUAAGCGCAGAGAAGUGUUCAAAAAUGAUCAUGUGCGUUAGGACCACAAGGGCCCCACUUAGAGGGCGUGCAGCAAUAAAUUUAGUUUUAUUAUUUUACACAUUAAGAUAAGAAAUAUGUUAGAAUAUACAGUCCACUAAUCCUAAAUAUGUAUGCUCAAAUAUAUUUAACAGGCAUACAUACAUACAUAAGCAAACACAUAAACAAAUAUACACUCAUAUGAUAACUUGUAGACCUAAGAUAUAUAUUUAGGCAAUUGAUUACAAGUGCACAUGAGCACUUGAAAACAAUCCCAUAACAUGUAGCAUAAACAAUGUGCUACAUACAUACGGACAUACACACACACACAUGUAUUGAGUUGUACUUAAAAACAACCCUAUGUGGUGUGCGUGCCACAUACGCACAUACAUAUGUAUAAAUUUAAUUAGAUAGUAAGAUUUGUAAAUAGUAUAUAAGCGAUGCAUUUAACAAAAUAAAAUUAGAAUGAAUAAGUUCUCAGCUCAAUGAAGUCUAUUUCUGUCCCCCACCAGCGGUAAGGCAAUUAGAAUCUUUAUUGAGUUUAAUAAUUGGUCUUACAAAUCAAUUAUUCAGAAGUACAAAUAAGUAUGUAAACUGUUAUUUAAAUAAACUUUAUUCUAGUUUUAAAUGGAAAUAAUCCAACGCUUUAUUUUUAUACUCUUGCAACAUGUUGCUUCAAAGUAUAAUAGGUUUGUGCACAUAACGGUUGUUUGUAUCACCUAAAAAUAAUCGAGUUAGAUUUAAAGAUAUAUAAGUACAUAUUUAUAUAUAAAUGAUCAGGAUGACGAGACGAGUUGAAAUCCGGGUGACUGUCUGUCCCUCCGUCCGUAUGUCCGGGAAAGAUGUAACUUGCGUAAAAAUUAAGAUAUAUUGAUGAAACUUGGUACACAUGUUUCUUGGUACCGUAACACGGUUUGUAUUGCUGAUGGGCGUAAUCGGACCACUGCCACGCCCACAAAACGCCAUUAAUCAAAAACAUAUGAAGUGCCAUAAGUAAACCGUCAGUUAAGAUACAGUACUCAAGUUUGGCACCACCAAUAAUAUUAAGGAGGGACACCUGUGGUUUGAAAAUCUUUUAAAGUGGGCGUGGCCCCGCUAUAUUACCCAAAUUUGCACAGGACACACUUUUUCAACUCUUGUUACAACAGUGUGACAAUGGGUGAAAUCGGAUGAUAACCUCGCCCACUACCCAUAUAACAAUUUUGUUAUAAACUACUAAAAGUGCGAUAACUCUAUAACUAAAUACGGCAGAGACAUUAAAUUUUACAGCAGAGAUGGCAGGUAAUAUUGUUAUGACAUUUCUACAUGACAGUGCGAAAAUAAGCGAAAUCAGGUGAAAACCUACUUUUCAUAUAACAAAAUUUUAAAUUUCCUCUGAUUGUUUCACUUUUCAGUAUACAAAUCAAGAACCAAUCAAUGUAUCCAAAAAAAAAUGUGUACGAAUAGUGCCUUUAAAGUUUGCCAUCUUAUGACCACAUUGGAGCAAAACUGUUCAAGUUCUCUGAUACCGAAACUGUGUGUGUACCAGUUCUAAUUAUGAACUUUUUAUUGAAAAUAUCGGUUAAUCUGUGAGAUAUAUUAAAGGAAUUCGAAGAGAAUCCUUUUCUGAUAUUAGUAUGUCUGUAUGUCAAAAAGAAGUUGAAUCAGAUCAAUUAUUCUCUUAGCCCCCAUAUAUCUAAUAGAAAGAUUUUCGAACCUCCGACUGACUUCAUACCGCAUGUAUAGGUCUAUUUGAUUGUAACUUACCCAUGUAUGCAAAAUAUAAGUUAAACUAUAAGAAUCUCAGGUAUAAUGAAAUCCAGUUCCUAAAUUCAUUCGUCGGUGUAACCUUAGCUAUAUUUUGGUAUGCCCAAUACACGAAAUAUAUACCGUUAGUCUUCUGCUCCACUCCGUAGUAAAAGCAUGUGCUUAUUCUAACCUAUUUCGUGAAGUUUUAGACCUGUGGGUUAAAUUUUUUUGUAAAGUGGGCGUGGCUAAUUGUGGAAAUGGGUAAUAUCGGAUAAUAACCACCCCCACUCUCCAUAUAAGUACUAUAACUCACCGAAUAAAUAAGCCACAACCAUUAAAUUUCACAACUAGGAUGGUAGAGAGGGACUCUUUAGGAAAAUUCUGAACAUUGGACAAGAGGUGUGACUCCGCCCACCUUAAGGCGAAAUCCAAUAUCUCAGGAACUACUCGACCGAUUUCAAUCAAAUUUGUUGAGUGAAUUUACCCAAACAAUCCUAUUAGUCACUGCAAAUAACCAUGCCUAAUAUCCUCCGCCUUUAUUCCCUGCAAGUUGCAAUGUUAUGAAAUGUUCGGUUACACCCUUCUUGCCUUAUUAUUUCACUAUUACUACGAUCAGCUUAUGGUAAAGAGACACCUUCAACAAUAAUAAAAGCAAUCUGCAUAAAGGCCCAGUUAUGCAUAUAGUAUUUGAUUAAUUUUUAUUUGAUUAUUUUUAUCUUUUCGCUCAUCGCGUCUGUUGUGACACUUUGUUUUAAUAAUUCUACGACGACGAGCGAUUGAUUGAGGGAGUGCGGCUACGAAAUUUUGUAAAAUAAAACGUGCCUCGGAUACCGGUUGUCGGAUAAAAAGGCGGCUGCCUGGGCAAACAUCGCCCGAGGACUAGGAGCAACAGGUUAGUAGAUUUAUAUGUUUAUGUGUUUUAAAGUAAAAUUUUUAUUACGUCGUCUGGAACUUUUUCCUCUGUGUAUUACAUGUCACGUGACGAUCGGCCGUGGAGUAGGCCUAAAAAUGAAGGUGCCCGUCGGAGCAGCCGAGGUCAAUUAAGCGGCGCCUACAGUUCGCAUCAGCUGACCGUGUAGUGUAUAUACUAUUACUUAUUUGUGCUCGUGCUCCACGCUAUUUUGUUUGCUUUUGCCAGUGUUUAAUGUAAAUGUUAUUUUUUUUGCUUUUGGUAAACAACAACACAGCUUGUGGUCCAUAAACUGAUCAACCAGGAAAAAUCAAAGAAUAGUAUAACAAGUAAGGAA